rnacentral:rRNA from 1 species
GGCGGACGGGUGAGUAACGCGUAGGCAACCUGCCCCAUACAGAGGGAUAGCCUCGGGAAACCGGGAUUAAAACCUCAUAACGCGAGAGAAUUUCAUGAUUCACUCGCCAAAGAUUUAUCGGUAUGGGAUGGGCCUGCGUCUGAUUAGCUAGUUGGUAAGGUAACGGCUUACCAAGGCGACGAUCAGUAGCCGACCUGAGAGGGUAAUCGGCCACAUUGGAACUGAGACACGGUCCAAACUCCUACGGGAGGCAGCAGUGGGGAAUAUUGCACAAUGGGCGAAAGCCUGAUGCAGCAACGCCGCGUGAGCGAUGAAGGCCUUUGGGUCGUAAAGCUCUGUCCUUGGGGAAGAAAAAAAUGACGGUACCCUUGGAGGAAGCCCCGGCUAACUACGUGCCAGCAGCCGCGGUAAUACGUAGGGGGCAAGCGUUAUCCGGAAUUAUUGGGCGUAAAGAGUGCGUAGGUGGUUUUGUAAGCGCGAGGUGAAAGGCUAUGGCUCAACCAUAGUAAGCCUUGUGAACUGUAAGACUUGAGUGCAGGAGAGGAAAGUGGAAUUCCUAGUGUAGCGGUGAAAUGCGUAGAUAUUAGGAGGAA